UUAGAAUUAGGGUUAGAAAUAGAAUUAGGAUUGCAUUUGAAUAGAAACAUACCUUCAUUAUGGAUGCUAAGUAACGUGAAAGUAAGAGAAUUUUAUAGGAAAUGAAACUAAAUCUGUCGAUAUUCUUCUCUAGAUUCCAAAUUGUGCUUCUUCCCUUUAGUAUCCUAAAUUCUUGAUAUUUUGUCCUUGAUUGCCUUACCUUCAUUGAUAUCGUGAUACCUAGAUACAAUUUCUUCCCGAUACCCUGUCUUCAUCAAUACCCUGUCCGUCCAUACUAUGUCUUCAUUGAUAUCCUUCCUUCUCAAUACCAUGCCUUCAAUACCAUAUUUUUGUCGAUAUCCUUCACUUUGAAUACCUUACUUUCAAUACCUUGCCCUUAUACCAUGUCCUCAAUAUCUCACACUUAAUACAUUGUCCUUGAUACCUUAUACCUGUUUAUAUCCUUCUUUUACUAUACCCUGCUUCAUAUAUCCUACCUCAUAUACCUUGUCCCAUUAAUAUUUUUUCUUUUGAAUAUCCCACCCACAAUACCAUGUUGACUUCAAUACCUUGUAUCCUUCUAUACACUGACCUCUCGAUACUAUGUUUCCAUGGAUACCUUGCCUUCUUGAUAUCAUACCAUUCAAUACCUUGUCCCUAGAUACCAUGCUCCAGAAUACCUUGUCUCCCUCAAUACCAUGUACUUUCAAUAUUUUGCCCUCUCCAUACCAUGCCAUUACAUACCCU
rnacentral:lncRNA from 1 species